rnacentral:rRNA from 1 species
CCCUUAGAUGUUCUGGGCUGCACGCGCGCUACACUGAUGCACUCAACGAGUUUACGACCUUGCCCGAUAGGGUUGGGUAAUCUUUUUAAAAUGCAUCGUGAUGGGGAUAGAUUAUUGCAUUUAUUAAUCUUCAACGAGGAAUUCCUAGUAAGCGCGAGUCAUCAGCUCGUGCUGAUUACGUCCCUGCCCUUUGUACACACCGCCCGUCGCUCCUACCGAUUGAGUGCUCAGGUGAAUAAUUCGGACUGCAGCAAUGUUUGGAUCCCGAACGUUGCAGCGGAAAGUUUAGUGAACCUUAUCACUUAGAGGAAGGAGAAGUCGUAACA